rnacentral:rRNA from 1 species
UACGGAAGGCAGCAGUGGGGAAUAUUGCACAAUGGGCGCAAGCCUGAUGCAGCCAUGCCGCAUGUAUGAAAAAGGCCUUCGGGUUGUAAAGUACUUUCAGUCGUGAGGAAGGUGUUAAGGUUAAUAACCUUAGCAAUUGACGUUAGCGACAGAAGAAGCACCGGCUAACUCCGUGCCAGCAGCCGCGGUAAUACGGAGGGUGCGAGCGUUAAUCGGAAUUACUGGGCGUAAAGGGCACGCAGGCGGUUAAUUAAGUUGGAUGUGAAAUCCCCGGGCUUAACCUGGGAAUGGCAUUCAAGACUGGUUAGCUAGAGUCUUGUAGAGGGGGGUAGAAUUCCAUGUGUAGCGGUGAAAUGCGUAGAGAUGUGGAGGAAUACCGGUGGCGAAGGCGGCCCCUGGGACAAAGGACUGACGCUCAUGUGCGAAAGCGUGGGGAGCAAACGAGGAUUAGAUACC